rnacentral:rRNA from 1 species
UACAGAGGUCCCAAGCGUUGUUCGGAUUCACUGGGCGUAAAGGGUGCGUAGGCGGUGGGGUGAGUUUGAGGUGAAAGCCCGGGGCUCAACUCCGGAAUUGCCUUUAAGACUGCAUCGCUAGAAUUGUGGAGAGGUAAGUGGAAUUCCGAGUGUAGAGGUGAAAUUCGUAGAUAUUCGGAAGAACACCAGUGGCGAAGGCGACUUACUGGACACAUAUUGACGCUGAGGUGCGAAAGCGUGGGGAGCAAACAGGG